GCUGCUGUAACUCAUCGGUAGAGCAUCCUUUGAACAUGUAUGUUGUUUGCGGGAUUUCAGAGGACGAUGAUGUGGGUUCGACCCCCACCGGUAGCG